AAGGAGAGCACCUGUUGUCAAGGCAGGCCCGGCACUCUCACUCUUCAUAAUAGAAACCCACUGCCUGACAAAUGUCACCCAAGUUCUACACGAUUUUUCAAGUACCUUGACGGUUGUCAGAAUCAAAGUGCAGUCGCUUGUGUUGAAACCUGGACGGGCGGAGCUGGGGAGGGCCUUGAGGGGGCCACGAAAGCCUGACAAGAGCUAUCACAGAAGACGCUGCAGACUCCACAUCCCUGCGUGACAGCCCCGGCGACCUCACACAGAAAGCAUCUCUGUGAGCACGUCUGCCCAGCGCCCGCCUGAACAACCCCACCCUGGCACCACCCAAGGGUUCAAAGUGGGUCAUGGAGCAGCAGAGACAACGGGCGUCGUCAACAACGCACUUGGCCCAGGAGCUGCGAAGGAACAUACCCCGCAGCGGUGGUGCAGGAAGGUGUUGCAAAAUGACGAGAGCCUUGAAGUGAGGACGCUGACGACGAGGAGCAGAGGGCAGUCAUCAGGCCGAUUCCCAACUACCCGGAGGCUGCCGGGGAACUCAACGCCGGC
rnacentral:lncRNA from 13 species